rnacentral:rRNA from 1 species
UACGUAGGGUGCAAGCGUUAAUCGGAAUUACUGGGCGUAAAGCGUGCGCAGGCGGCUUUGCAAGACAGAUGUGAAAUCCCCGGGCUUAACCUGGGAACUGCAUUUGUGACUGCAUAGCUGGAGUGCGGCAGAGGGGGAUGGAAUUCCGCGUGUAGCAGUGAAAUGCGUAGAUAUGCGGAGGAACACCGAUGGCGAAGGCAAUCCCCUGGGCCUGCACUGACGCUCAUGCACGAAAGCGU